AAGGUCUCCCACUGGGUUAACCAGGUAAGACCCCAGCGAGACUAGCUGGUUGAUAGGCCGCAAGUGUAAGACGGGCAACCGUUUCAGCUAAGCGGUACUAAUAGGUCGAGGGCUUGACCAUCUA
rnacentral:rRNA from 1 species